CAUUUUUGCGCCUGUCCCAAGUCAGGAGCCUCUGGCCUUUGAUAGUCUUGUAUUAUUUUAACUUUUAGUUUCUUGUGUACAAUUUGGAGUUUAGUAUGGCGUUCAUUAUCACUGAACUAGUAUAUAUUUGUUUAGGGGCCAGCUGAAGGACGCCUCCAGGUGCGGGAAUUUCUCGUUGCAUUGAAGACCUGUUGGUGACCUUCUGCUGUUGACAGCUCUAUGGUCGGGUUGUUGUCUCUUUGGCACAUUCCCCAUUUCCAUUCUCA
rnacentral:lncRNA from 1 species